AAGAAGAAAGAUGGAUUGAGCCACGUGCUCAAGAGACAUAUGAUAGGUAUAUACGAAUAUCUCAGGAAUAUCGUAGUACUCUACCUCUUGAGAGUCAGGACAGACCAUUUACACAAGAAGAAAAUGAGAAUCUUUGGAAACAGAGUGCUGGUGAACC